rnacentral:lncRNA from 1 species
UGUCUUCUAAUCAAUCGUCUCUGUCCUCCUCUCUCUCACACCUCGUCCACUGCAGCUACGUAUGCAGUUUGAGGCAAUGUCCGUCGUUAAGCCACCGCUGAUGCUUUAGCUAUGAGAGCUGAGGAUAUAUUGCAACAUGGACUGUCGCUCGAAAAUGGAAGCAUUGGUAAUGUGGUCGUGGUUUUAAGGCACACGGCUUACUAAGUUCUGAAGAGAGUCGUUUUGUGCGAGAGUGAGGUUCGAUGACUGGAAAUAUUACAGGAAUAAUUCAGUCGAAGAACGGUCGCUUUGUGUACUGUUCGUGUUUUCAUCUAACUUGUUCGCAUGAGUCUGAGUCUCCUAUUGGGAACUUACCGAUUCAUUUGUUCCUAGACAGGACCGCAUUCCUCAUUUUCAAAUUUAUUGAUGUAUGAAUGGAGAAUUAUUCGAGUAAUAUGAUUAGUAUUUGUGAUUCAUUUUGUGAAUGCAUGGCGGAAGCUUCAUCGAAGGUCACUCUGAAUUUCUUCAUGUGUGUUUUCCUUUCAGUUAUGAUUGUAGCCUAGUGAUAGUCCAGGUUGAUUCUUUUCUUUGAAUGGCCAGUUGAUCAUGCCCUGAGUUUACUGCAUUCCACUGUUUUUAGUCCUGUUUGAAUGCCAGACCUACUUAUUAGGAUUGGUUUGACGUUAAAUCUUGUUCCUUACGAUUUGUAACGCUCGGGAUACUGAUGUAUAUCCAAAUGUUUGUGAGAACUUUGGCGUCUCAAAAAUGGACCUUGGUGCACUGUCCAGUGAUGUUAAUAACGUACUGUCGAUCAUGUUGAUCUAGAGUGGUGGCGGAUACUCCCUUUCUGAUGUCUUUUUUCAUCCCUCUGUCUCAAUCUCUCUUACUACCCUAUCCGUAUUCUUUCUCUACUGCACGACCCUUUGCAGUGUGAGGUAGUAUCUGCCAUUUAACCACCGCUGAUGCUGUAGCUAUGAGAGCUGAGGACAAUUUGCACCUAUGAGACUUGCUGUUUUGUCUGCACGUCUUGGUUACCUUUCUGGAUGACGGUCACUGUUUGCCCAUGAACCUUGGUUUACCAACAUGAAAUUAGUUACAAAGCACGUGGAUUUUAAGUUCUGGCACAUUCUGCCAAGUCACGUUAAUGCGACGUUAGCCUCUGAUAAUGCUUGGGUGAAACAGAAGUAUCUGCCCUUCUGAUUUCAACAGUUACCAAAACAUCAGUGUUAGUAACACUGCAGUUCUGUAAUUGUUACACAUUGUUGUGUCCUGUCGGGUCCUACAUGUUCCACAAUUUCAACAGAGUGCCAAGUUCUUGUUUGAGACUGAUAUUUGAUAGUUCGUGGUGCUCUGUAUGAGCUUUGCUUUAGCGCACAAGCUUUCACUAUGUAACCCACUUCUGUUGGAAUAUAUGGCAACUGUUGACAGGGCCUGGUGUUUUUUAUCUGCGACUAAAUGUAAUCCUAUUUCUUGCAUGCCACUUCUACAUCUUGGGUCAAAGCUCAUCGCAGC